ACUGAAUGACUCGUAUGACGUAAUCCAAAUACGAUGCAUUUUUUGUGCAUAAUGUCUAGCCUACAUUUAGGUGAUAUAUCAAUUAAGCACCUACCUUUCCUCAGAGAUUAUUUUCAAACUUCGAUG